GGGCCCGUGGUCUAGUCCGGUAUGACGUCUCCUUUACAAGCACGGCGAAGCGGGGUUCCCGGCAUCGCAAGGCUGAGAACGGAGAAGGUCACCAGUUCAAAUCUGGUCGGGCCCA
rnacentral:tRNA from 1 species